rnacentral:rRNA from 1 species
GAUGAACGCUAGCGACAGGCUUAACACAUGCAAGUCGAGGGGCAACAUGAUUUUAGCUUGCUAAAAUUGAUGGCGACCGGCGCACGGGUGAGUAACGCGUAUGUAACUUGCCUACCAGAGGGGGAUAGCCCGGCGAAAGUCGGAUUAAUACCGCAUAAAACAGGGGUUCCGCAUGGAAAUAUUUGUUAAAGGAUUACCGCUGGUAGAUAGGCAUGCGUUCCAUUAGAUAGUUGGUGAGGUAACGGCUCACCAAGUCGACGAUGGAUAGGGGUUCUGAGAGGAAGGUCCCCCACAUUGGUACUGAGACACGGACCAAACUCCUACGGGAGGCAGCAGUGAGGAAUAUUGGUCAAUGGGCGAGAGCCUGAACCAGCCAAGUCGCGUGAAGGAUGAAGGAUCUAUGGUUUGUAAACUUCUUUGUCUGAGGGUAAAAAAGCGGACGUGUCCGUUCUUGCAAGUAUCAGACGAAUAAGCAUCGGCUAACUCCGUGCCAGCAGCCGAC